GUCGGGAUAGCUCAGUUGGUAGAGCCAGAG
rnacentral:tRNA from 1 species